UACGGAGGGUGCGAGCGUUGUCCGGAAUCAUUGGGCGUAAAGGGCGCGUAGGUGGCCUGCUAAGCGUGCGGUGAAAGCUCGGGGCUCAACCCCGAGUCGGCCGUGCGAACUGGUGGGCUUGAGCACUGUAGAGGCAGGUGGAAUUCCCGGUGUAGCGGUGGAAUGCGUAGAGAUCGGGGAAGAACAUCAGUGGCGAAGGCGGCCUGCUGGGCUGUUGCUGACGCUGGAGGCGCGACAGCGUGGGGAGCAAACAGGG
rnacentral:rRNA from 1 species